rnacentral:misc_RNA from 1 species
GCAGAAAAGAUGGCGCUUCUGUCAUUUUCACAUUAUGGUGUGGAGAUAAUACUAUGUCAUGUAGUCAUAAAUUUUCUUGUAUUUGAAUUAGUUGAAAACUCCAACUAAAAAAAUGCAGAUUUCAUCUGACAAGUUAUAUUAAACCUUACAAGGAAGGUGAACUAAAAUCAAGAUGAUUUGCACAGUUGUGUUAAGUAGAUUUUCCAAAUCUUGGAAAUUGCACACAAGUUUUGUGGCGAUGUCUUGUCCAUUUAUUUCCUGUCGAUGCAAAUAUGAAAUUGCUCAGUCGACAUCCAUGCACUUAUUGACUAGAACAUGGCAUUACAAAAUUAUAUCUGGCCCUGCAUCUAAAGUAAUUGUUUCCUUGAUAAAGGAACAGAACUGUAAGUAUUGGAAGUCGAAAGGAAGCUUCACUGGACUAAAUACUCUCAAUGACAGGUUAUAUUACAGGUUUAAAUCCACUUUUACCAAAGACAGGAAUAGUCUAGGAAGUUCAACAAUAUUAGUUCAGGAUGGCCUUGAUAUUCAGGAGCUUCCUGUGAUUGUGAAAAAGACAAGUGAUGUGCUAGCUGUAAUUGGAUGCACACCUGAUAGGUCUGAAAACAGUUCUGUGCUGGAAAAUAAAAAUCUAAAGAAAGACAGAAUUGAUACAGACCUUUAUUCUUAUCUUUCUAAGAAUAAAGAAAGAGUUGAGCAUAAGAAAAUAGAACAAAGUGAGAGUGAUUUUAUGAAAAUACGAACAAAUUUAGAAGCUUGCUUAUGCAUGAAGCAGUUGAUGGCAUACCUUCAAAAUCUGCCUUUGAAAGAAGUGUCUUCAGUUGUAGCAUUAGCUGUUCUAGAACGACUGAUUGACUUGCAGGGUGUGGGAUUAGAUAAAAUAUCUCUCAAAGAGUUUUCUGUGGAAAACUCUGUUCAUUCUGUUAUUAUUUAUAGGCUGUGUGAACUUGUAUGUGGUUCUGAAGACAUUAGUGCUAUAUUGGCAGGUUUAGGCUGUGUACUCAGGGGAAGGAUGGCUGAUGAAGAAAGAAAAAGGUACAUAGAGUGUUUUGUACAGGAUUGUCUUUAUCAAGUUAGUGAUGGCAAACUGAAUAUUCUACAAAUCUGUGAACUGGUAAAUCUGUUACAUAGGGCAGGUGGUGAUCAUCAGGCUACAGUUGACAAACUGUGGUCUAGUAUAGUUGACUCUGCUAAGUACAUUAAUGAAAAGAACAUUUUAACAGUAUUUGGAAUCUUGCCAUGUUUUAAAACAUCUCAGGUAAUCAUUCUAAGAACUUUGACAAAACAGGUAGAGUUAUGCUCUUUAAAACUAACCGGAACUCAGGUAGCUCUUAUUUUACAGAUUGUAUCAAAUUUACGACAGAGACCUUAUAAGCUGCUGUCUGUGUUAACAAAGUGGACAAAUCUUAAUCUGCAUACAUUAAGUGAAAAAGAAUUCAAAGAUAUCAUUAGAUUUAUGAACAGAAUGAAGUUUCGUGAUAGUGGUCUUGAUAAUGCUCUUGAACGAUACAUGAAGACUAAAGGAUUGAAGUGUCAGAACACUGGAAUUGUAAGAGUAGUUUCUGAGUAUUGUGCACUUUUCAGGUGGAGGAAUACAAAAGUUUUGGAAUGUUUGGCAGCUGUUUUUAUCAAACAUGGUAAAAAGAUGCCUCCAGAGAACAUAGAAAGUAUUGUAAAUCUGUUUGGACUUCUUAAUCAUCAACCACCUUAUGCUUUUGAAUUUUUUGAAAAUUUGGAGAAUGUGCUUUUGGAGAGAUUUGCUGAUUUCAAACCUCAAAGUAUAAUAGAGAUUCUGAUGUCUUGCAUUUAUUUACAGCGUUAUCCAUUGAACUUUGUGAAAAAAGUUAUUAGCCCAUUUUUCUUAGACAGACUUAAUGCUUGUUUAGCUGAUGCUGAACUUCGUUGGGCUCAUAGUAGGCUGAAAUUGUUGGAUGCUGCUCUUACACUAGAAUGCCAUCAGUACCGUGGACCAUUUUUUCCAAAGAAUUUGUCUGCUAAGAGUUUACAUAAAGAUGGUCGGUUAGUGAAGUUGAAAACUAGUUUAAACGAUUGCUUCAGUGAGUUGUUAGGAGGAGAGGAUCGAUAUAAGUUUUCCGUUGUGAUUCCUAGACUCCCACUGUCAGAUCUGUAUAUCAUAGAUUAUCUCUUUCAUCUGAAUAAAGCUGGAUGUCCAUUACCUUUAUACUCUGUUUCUGGAAUUUACAAAAGGAUUUCCAAUCUCUUGCCUUGUUACUUCAGCUGAGCCUAUCUCAUCGUUAGGCAGUUUUGUCUGUUCAUACCAUGUUUUGCUUCUGGUUCUUUCCUUCCUAACAAGAAACAGGUCACCUCACCUUUGUUACUUUGCUUAUACAGGGUUGCUGUCCUUGUGCAUUUACCAGAACAUUACUGUCUGAAUACUGAUCAUCUUAUUGGUCCACAAUCCACAAGGGAGCGUCACCUGCAUCUUCUCGGCUAUGAAGUUGUUCAUUUAAAUUAUGAGG